rnacentral:rRNA from 1 species
UAUCCGAAAGACUCUCGGCAACGGAUAUCUCGGCUCUUGCAUCGAUGAAGAACGUAGCGAAAUGCGAUACUUGGUGUGAAUUGCAGAAUCCCGUGAACCAUCGAGUCUUUGAACGCAAGUUGCGCCCGAAGCCAUUAGGCCGAGGGCACGCCUGCCUGGGUGUCGCCC